rnacentral:rRNA from 1 species
UACAGAGGUCCCAAGCGUUGUUCGGAUUCAUUGGGCGUAAAGGGUGCGUAGGUGGCGCCGUAAGUCGGGUGUGAAAUUUCGGAGCUUAACUCCGAAACUGCAUUCGAUACUGCGGUGCUUGAGGACUGGAGAGGAGACUGGAAUUCAUGGUGUAGCAGUGAAAUGCGUAGAGAUCAUGAGGAAGACCAGUGGCGAAGGCGGGUCUCUGGGCCGUAACUGACGCUGAGGCGCGAAAGCGUGGGGAGCGAACAGG